rnacentral:sRNA from 1 species
AUUUCUUUUCAACCAGUUUUCAGGCAGCAUUUUCUCACCAAGAAAGAGCUCAUUAAAGCUCUUGUGGAGAAUAUAGAUAUGGACACAAGCCUCAUUUUGGAAUAUUGCAGGCAUUGAGUAUUCUGAAACAUUUGAAGUCAUACAGAAGAAUUUCUCCUCCCGUGGAUCUAGAAUAUCAGUAUAUGU